CACGUAGGCGGAUAUUUAAGUCAGGGGUGAAAUCCCAGAGCUCAACUCUGGAACUGCCUUUGAUACUGGGUAUCUUGAGUAUGGAAGAGGUAAGUGGAAUUCCGAGUGUAGAGGUGAAAUUCGUAGAUAUUCGGAAGAACACCAGCGGCGAAGGCGGCUCACUGGACAGGUAUUGACGCUGAGGAGCGAAAGCAUGGGUAGCAAACA
rnacentral:rRNA from 1 species